GAUGUAGGGGUCUGGCUGUGUUUUAAAGGGCUGCUGAGAUGCGAUGACAGCAGAUCCUUCUGUUCAAACUUAGAUCUGCCACAGUCAUGUAGAAAGAGGAGAAGCCAUGAUUAAGGAGCAAAAAAAUAACACGCAGGUGAAAAAGGUGGAGGAGCCCUCUGCUCCCUUGCCUGUGUAUCCUGUCUCUCACUCACUCUCUUCCUGAAUGCUUUUUGCUAGCCAGCCUUGUUUCCUGAGCAAGGCCAUGGGGAAGGCAUUUACAAAAUGCCUGUCCCUGUCUUAAGGACACCAAGAUCUAUUCUGUGUGCAAGGAUUUGCACAGUGUUUGUGCUCGAUCAGUGGGACUAUAGAAACUUCUCUUGCACCGCGGUGAACUCUGUUUUCUCUGUGUGGGUCUCCUCCCAGCCACUGGGCUCCGACGAUGGCUGCCUGUUGUGAUGGAUGCCCCAUUAGUACAGAACGUUUCAUCUGGAGCUGUGAGAGUAGUUGGAGAAGUUGUGUUUCAUUUUUAUUUUUGCCUCUCCGAUCGUGCUGUUGACUUUGCAGCUGAGAUAACUUUAGUUUGUUUCUACGUUGCACUGUUGCUAGGCCGGGCAUUAUGGAUACCCAACAAAACUUGGUUAUAGGAUUGGAUUGCAAUCCAGAUAAAUGCUGCAUGGAAUUCCAAGUGUCCUAGGAAAACAGCUCCCUCAGGAAAUUGUUCUGACAGUAAAACCUUGGACUAUCAACAGGACAAAAUUGGAGGAUCACAUUGACAAAUGAGAACAUUAUUUUGCGUGAACAAACUGUUAUCUCAGUUUACAUGUUCCCUCCGAUUUCAGACAGUUUCCACUUGAAUUCUUGUGACAGGAAAGUCCUCUUGGUUACAGCAGCGGUGGGAAUUUAUGGUCCUCCAGAUAUUGAACCCCAGCUCCCAUCAGCCCCAGCUGGCCAAGAUGGCCAAUGGUCAGGAGUGAUGAGGGUUGACAGUCCAACAGAUAUAGAGGUCUUCAGGAUCUCUGCCCCCACUCCCAGAGCUACAAUUUUGCUGCCCUUCCUUUCUCUAACCUAAAAAACUGAUCCCACUUUCCCCUUGAGAAUAGGGACUCAGCUAUACAGAUGCAAGUAAAACGUUCUAAAUGUGUUGCAAAGUGCAAUAUACAAAUGUGACACUAGAUGGCGACAGUGAGCUAUGCCAAAUUCAAUGUAUUUUUCAAAACGUUUUUUUUAAAAAAAACACCCUUUUCACAGUGUUUUUUAUGUGUGUAAUUCCACCCAGGCUUCAAAAAAUAAGGAGAGCCUUGCUGGGUCAGACCAAACAGGGGCCGCUUGGAGGGAAGGAAACAGAUGGAGUAUGCAUGUUCAUGCAGCUGCCUAACAGCAUCCACGUCACCCAGGAGGCCGCAGCCGCAGAGAUAAUAAAAGAAGAGUUGUUCCGUUGUCUGGAGAGGUCACUUCCUGGUUCGCAUGGAGAAGCCGUUUUCAAAGGAGCCCAGUGACGAAAGCAGGCAGCUAUAUUGAG